GAGGAUGUUUCUGCAUCCCUGGAGCUGCAGAAACUCAUCUUGUGACUAUCAAAGAAGCCAGCCUGCAGGCAUGGAUUAUCUGGUUUGAUCCUCACUACAACGCUACGAACCUGAUGACCUCCACUCAGAGAUAAAAAACUGUGACUUGUCCAAGAUUCCCUGAGCCCUAGUGUGCGCUGGGAGCAGAUUUCUGCACAGGCUGUCUCAGCCCAAAGCCCUGGCUGUCCGUCAGGACCUCUGCGUGUCAGUCACCCCCUCUUCAGUGACUUUGGCUCUAUCCAGAGGACAGCUGCAUUAUUAUUUUCCUGAGCAAAAAAAAAAACAAGUAACCUUACCCCUCACAGUGCUAUCCUGGGAUGGGUUCAGAGCACUUGUGUAUGUUAUUUUUCCAAUAAAUUUUGAGGAAUCGCUGCUUUCAAACCACAAUGUGAAGCCACCCUGUGGUAAUAUCAAAAUGAAUUUUUAAUGAUUGAGCACUAUAUAGGUGAAAAUUAUUGUAAUAAUUGAUGAAUUAAUCCACGCGUGGGCCGCAUACCCGCUAGAAGAGGGCUGAG
ensembl:lncRNA